rnacentral:rRNA from 1 species
UACGUAGGGGGCGAGCGUUGUCCGGAUUUAUUGGGCGUAAAGAGCGUGUAGGCGGUUCGGUAAGUCUGUCGUGAAAUCCUGAGGCUCAACCUCGGGCGUGCGAUGGAUACUGCCGGGCUAGAGGGUGGUAGAGGCGAGUGGAAUUCCCGGUGUAGCGGUGAAAUGCGCAGAUAUCGGGAGGAACACCAGUAGCGAAGGCGGCUCGCUGGGCCACACCUGACGCUGAGACGCGAAAGCGUGGGUAGCAAACAGG